rnacentral:lncRNA from 1 species
CCUCGCCUCCACCCCAUCCACUUCCCGUUUGUUGCCUCUCCAAGAUUACAGCAUGGUGCUCUGUGGCUGCGGCAAUGGAGCUGAUGGUGCGCCAGCCGACCAGUUGAACGGAGGCAGUAGCACGGGGCAGCGGCAACAACCUAGAGGGCGUCCAGUUGAUCGGCAAUGUACAAAUGUUCGUGAUGCCUUUAUAUCCUCCUACUUGAAGCAACAAUUUGUCUCGUCCAUGGUACAUGCAUGCAGUUUUAGUUCUUUAGCAAUUUCAGAUCGAUGUUUAUUUGUUUCUUAGUUAUAAUCUGUACUGCGAUGUACUUGUGUUGCUUUAGAUUAAGGAGAGGCCCCUGGUAAAUGGCUUGGCAAAUGCAUAUAUCAUACGGGGGAAAGAAAAAUUGAGUCUUGAUGAGUUGAACACAGUAGUGACAUUAUUAUGAAAUAUGCAUGCAUCUUGUAGUCACCAAGGAUGCUCUAGAUCUGGUAAUAUUUAUUUUGGUCCAACAAAAAAGUGGGGUACAAAGCUUGUUAUGAACGUCCUAAAAUAUAUAAUUGUUGCAUAUAUAUGGGCUGUGUGCUUGUUUUGGAGCUGUUGAGAUGAUGCUUGUGCGCAACAUUAAUUUUUUUUCUCAAGAACAGAUUAAUUUCAACAGAAAAGUACAUGUUGACCGAUGAUUAAUUUCAAUGUUCAGCGGUACCAUUAAGUAGUGGCUCUAGAACUAAGCAACAUUGUAUCAUUCUCAAGAACAGAUUACCUUUUGUGACUUGUCUGUUUGGCAAGCAUUGAGUUGUAUAUAAAUUUCUUUCUCCUUAGUAUCUAAACUAGAGCAUCGAGUUAUAUAUAAAUUACUUAUUCCUUACUAUCUAAAUUAGAGCAUCGGGCUGUUCUGUUUUUUGUUUAUUAAUAAUAUGAGGACAGCCUAGUAAGCAAAGUUGCUUUCUUAGUUACCUACACUUCAUAACUGACCGGUGUUCUUUUCUCAUUUGAUUUUCAGGUAAUGGAACUGCAAAUAGGAGUGGCAGCGGUAACCAUGAUGCAAGUGCAAGUGGUUCCCAAAGAUCUUGGAAAGGUAACAUACUAACAUGAUAUGAGCUGUGAGAUUGCAUGGGGAUCUUAUAGAGCUCUAACUUAGUUCAAAUAAAAAAAGAUGGCAUAGAGCUCUCACUUAAUUCAGUAGUUCCAUGAAACAUAUUUUGUAUUUUUCGUAAAUUGGUUGAAGUUUUUUUGUGUACAUAACAGUACACUGUGCUGUCCAUGUAGUGAGAUGAGGAUGAUCACAAUUCAGAGUAUUUGGAUCUCUCUUUCAUAUUUCUAUAUAGUAAGGCAUAUAUCUUGAUCUGUAUGGCUUGUCAAGAAGAAGACCAAGGACGUCAACAGCCUAUACCCUGUUGCUCUGGUAAGUCUCUUCUUUUUGUUGUUUUAUCAUUCAUGAUAAUUGCUUAGAAAAUUUUAGUUACUUGGAGCUGCUAGUUACUUAGAUGCAUGCACUUUCUAUCCAUGCCUAGCCUCAUUACCAUGUUAAGCAAUGCAUUUAUAUUAUCCUGAAAUGUUACCACUUGACUAUUGUUGCACUAGACACUUUCCUAUUAGUCCAUUUUUAUUUCAUUAUGCACAGAGUGGAACAAGAAAAUUCUGAUGUUGAACUACAUCCAUCCUGAUCCUUUCUCUAUUUUCUCUAAACCAGAAAUGCCACAUGAAGAACUAAGGAUAUCAAGAUGCUUUUGGAUGUAUGCAAGCUUGGAGCUCCUGUUUUAUAGGUAUGUUAACCACUAUAUUUAUCCUGCAAUAUGUUUGAGCUUAUGCAUGAUUUUUUAUUCACAAUUUUCACCGUGGAUUUUCCUUCUGUAUGACAAUUGACAAAUGGCUUGUCCAAGCCAACAGUGGGCUGUUUGUGUCUAUGUUGCUUGCUUUGUAUCCUUAGUUUUGUUGUGCUGGAGUGCAAACUAUAAACUAGAAUUCAUCAUUCAAGUGUAUGGAGGCAUUUAACCUUUUUCCUGAAUCUUUUUGGUGAAUAAAAAACUAUAUUGCUUCAUUAGAUUCGUUAUUUGAUUCAUGAGUAUGCAUAACAUUUGACUAUUGUUCUACUAGCUACUUGUCCUGAUAAUCCAUUUUAUUUUUUGUUGCACAAAGUGGCAGAAGAUAAUUCCGAUGCAGAACUACCUCCAUCCUGACCCUUCCUCUCUUUUCUCUAAACCAGAAAUGGCAUGUGAAGAAUAGCCAGGGAUAUCAAGAAGCUUUUGGAUGUAGGCAAACUUGGAGCUGUUGUUUCAAUGUCAUGCUUUGAUGGUUGUCUUUUGGAGCUGUUGUUUCUAUGUGUAAUCCUUUAAGUCUGUUGGUUGUACCAGACUAUUUGAACUCUGAACUACGUUAUGAUGGUUGAACUGAUGUUGGACUAUUAAGGGUUAUGUUGGAGGCAACUUUAUAACUAAUGUGUGCCUGUUAUUUUGGACAGAUGCAGUUUUAUUAAUCCCUAGAGCUUAUUUGCUGAAGUUUAUAUGAUCAAUCUUGAUGGUUGUUGUGCUGCUAUGUUUA